CACACAGCUGGCAAGUGGAGGAGGAGCACUAGCACAGCCCCGUGUGACUUUUUCAACGUCUGUCCUUCCCUCCAGCCUGGCCUGCAAUACCCUGAAGUAUACAUCCAGACGCUACUAUUUCCACCCUCUCCAGCAGCAGAGGUGCGGGGCUCCCACAGGUAGACUCCUUGGCCUUUCUCAACCACCAGUGACUCAAAAAAUUGGCAGAUCUGCAGCAAUCAACAGGAAAGGAAGACCUUCUUUGCAUCCCACUGCCGAUGAAAAGUCCAAACCAAUGAUCCUGCAUCCAAGGCCCUCGUUGAUCUGGCCCAUGCCAGCCUUUCCCCUGCUGGGCACCCUGCUAUCCCCUUAAAACAUGAGUUUAAUCCACAAAACAAUUGUGGAUUAAAAGGAAUGGGAGUUACUUUUUCCAUAUUUUAUGAAUGAGAACUUUGAGAUGCAGAGAAGUUGCAUGACAUAUUAUUUGGGACCAUUUAGUUGCAACAGAUAGACCCUUAUCGCAAAAAAGCUUAGGCAAAAAACAAACAAACAAACAAAAACUAACCUGCAUAACUAGGAAGUCCAAGGGUAGUGUUGACUUCAGGUCAACCUUGAUCCAGGACAUCCACCACAGCACCAAGACUCCAUCUUUGUCAAUCUCUUUGCACUGCUUGCCGCUGCUUGGCUUUAUUCUCCAUCUCUAUCGCCAUGGUAGCAAGAUGGCCCCAGCAGCUUCAUAUUUCAGUGGUCAUUAGAGCCCAUGAUACUGUGGAAAGACAAGGUCUCUUUCUGGAUUGCACUGGCAAAGUCUCAGAGAGAAAUCUGAUGAUUAGGUCUGGGUCAUUUG
rnacentral:lncRNA from 1 species